rnacentral:lncRNA from 1 species
CUCUGAGGAAGAAACCACCAUUCAAGUUGGAGUGCGGUUAACAUCAAAAGGAGAACGGUGAGAAUGGAGUCUCCCCAAAAUUACUCUGAGCAUCACAGCUGCGUUAGAACAACGGUCAGCAUGCAUACAAAAGGACCUAAACCACAUUCUCCUCGUCCCGGCCGGCCGUCACCCUAGAGCAAGCACAGUUCUUCCUUCAGCUCCUCUCCUGCUCACCAUGGCUCAGCUGAAAUCAUUGCCUAUGAGAUAACCACUCACGGUUUCCCAUCACCACAGUGUUCUCAUGGCCUGCCAAACGAGAACUUGCAGGCCUAGCAUGUAAAGGGACCAGGGAAGGAGGCAGAGUGGGGCCUGCUGUUGAGGCUGGCUGCUUCUGUGUUCUCUGCCUGUGCCAGGCUGCGUAUGGUCUUCACUUGCCGUCUUUGAACUGAGAGAACCUCAGCUGCUUCUGGAAUCCAUUUUGUCCGUAGAGUGGAUAGAAGCCCCUGAAUCGUAUUUCUGGAGGCAGCCCUACCCAGCCACUGCCAGGAAAGAUCGUCUGCACUGCGUUCUGAGUGCUGUGAACCCCAGCAUGU